GUCGCGGUAAACUAGUGGUCAUGGUGACGGACUCGCGUUCCGUUGAGUCGAGGUUCGAGCCUUGAUGCGGCU